rnacentral:rRNA from 1 species
UACGGAGGGGGUUAGCGUUGUUCGGAAUGACUGGGCGUAAAGCGCGCGUAGGCGGAUCAGGAAGUUGGGGGUGAAAUCCCGGGGCUCAACCCCGGAAUGGCCUUCAAAACUCCUGGUCUUGAGUUCGAGAGAGGUGAGUGGAAUUCCGAGUGUAGAGGUGAAAUUCGUAGAUAUUCGGAGGAACACCAGUGGCGAAGGCGGCUCACUGGCUCGACACUGACGCUGAGGUGCGAAAGCGUGGGGAGGCAAACAGGA